rnacentral:rRNA from 1 species
GAUGAACGCUGGCGGCGUGCCUAAUACAUGCAAGUCGAGCGAAGCGGGGACGGGAGAGUAACACGUGGAUAACCUACUAUAAGACUGGGAUAACUUAGGGAAACUGGAGCUAAACCGGAAACUUAUCGAUGGACCCGCGCUGCAUUAGCUAGUUGUAGAGGUAACGGCGUAACAAGGCAACGAUCCAUAGCCGACCUGAGAGGUAGAUCGCACACACUGUGACUUGCAAACGGUCCAGGCUCCUACGGGAGGUCGCAGUAGGGAAUCUUCCGCAAUGGGCGAAAGCCUGACGGCGCAACCCCGCGUGAGUGAUGAAGGUCUUCGGAUCGUAAAUCACUUUUAUUAGGAAAGCGGUACCUGAUCAGUAAGCGACGGCUAACUACGUGCCAGCAGCCGCGGUAAUUC